AUAUUUAACAUUUCAAUAUAUAUUUUAUGUAAAAAUGCAUUUAUAUAAUAAAAUUGUAAUUAAAAUUGACAUUUUAAAACGGUUUGUUUUAAUGCCUGAGGUGACUUCCCCUCAUGCGAGUUGGUUUCGCUUCUAAUUUUGUGUCCGUAUGUCAGUUGUCUCUACCGCGCGAAAGGAAAUUUAUGCAAAUGUCAAUUACCCCGUGUUUAAGCCCAAUAUAUUGUUUAAAUGUUUGAAAUAUGUUUUUAAUCGACUUGUGUCUGUAAUACUGAACCGUUCUGGUGUGUUGGUGCUGUAAACUCCCGUUGAGCUCAAACUCUUAAUCUCACGCGAGUCUCAGAUGGAGAACUUUAUUCUGAUGAAGAGAUCGGCAGAGGUAGCAGAUCGGUGGUGUUUAAGGGCAGAAUGAAAGGCUACAUACAUUUCGUUCGUGGCCACCAUCUGCAAUGACAAAUCAAAGAGACCCGAACUCACAAACCAUGUUUGAGACUUGCUCAUGAAGUAAAGCACGACAAUGUG